CAGUAGCCGCGGUAAAACGAAGGGUGCAAGCGUCAAUCGGAAUUACUGGGCGUAAAGCGUGCGUAGGCGGUGAGUUAAGUCUGCUGUGAAAUCCCCGGGCUCAGCCUGGGAAUGGCAGUGGAUACUGGCUCGCUAGAGUGUGUCAGAGGAUAGUGGAAUUUCCGGUGUAGCAGUGAAAUGCGUAGAGAUCGGAAGGAACAUCUGUGGCGAAGGCGACUAUCUGGGCCAACACUGACACUGAGGCACGAAAGCGUGGGGAGCAAACAGGAUUAGAUACCCCAGUAGUCCCUGUCUCUUAUAC
rnacentral:rRNA from 1 species